rnacentral:rRNA from 1 species
UACGUAGGGUGCGAGCGUUGUCCGGAAUUACUGGGCGUAAAGAGCUCGUAGGUGGUUUGUCGCGUUGUUCGUGAAAACUCACAGCCUAACUGUGGGCGUGCGGGCGAUACGGGCGGACUGGAGUACUGCAGGGGAGACUGGAAUUCCUGGUGUAGCGGUGGAAUGCGCAGAUAUCAGGAGGAACACCGGUGGCGAAGGCGGGUCUCUGGGCAGUAACUGACGCUGAGGAGCGAAAGCGUGGGGAGCGAACAGG